UCUUCGGCUGUUCACCAUUUGUCCCGGCAGCUUCCUCGCUCACUGUGAUUACUUACAAUAAUGGGAUCCUCCUGGAAAUGUAGGGGCCCGGUAAAACAAACUGACUGUAAUGUCACAAUAAACAGCGCAAGGAAUAGGCUGUGUUAUUCAUAAUAAGAACAGGGGUAUUUGUGGCACUUUAGAAACUAACGCAUUUAUUUGAGCAUAAGCUUUCAUGGGCUACAGCCCACUUCAUCGGAUGCCUAGAAUGGAACAUACAGUAAAUGUUCUCCAUACGUGUAUAUAUAUCUCCUCACCACAAGUACUCCUGUUCUUUUUGCAGCUACAGACUAACACGGCUGCUACUCUGAAACCUGUCAUUAUUCAUAAUAGUUCAUUCAGACCUCCAAUCAAUAACAUACCUGGAGCUACAGUUGCCAACCCUCCAGGAUCGUCCUGGAGUCUCCAGGAAUUAAAGAUUACUGUUUAAUUAAAGACUAAGUGAUAUGUGACAACACCUCCAGGAAUAUGUCCAACCUAAAGUUGUUACAUUUUUCCCCUUCUGAAUACUGCAGUAUUCUACAAUAGUGGAGAUAGGUCGGAGGAAUAUAGUUUGCAGCAGUGACCACAGCAUUUUGAGCCAUUGCUGCAGGCAAAACUUCUGUUGACUUUAUUUGGUGCAGGAUUGGAUGGCUAGGGUGGGAUGCAAGUGGUCUGGACAAUGUCACGAGUGCAGCCCACAAAAUAUUGAGUAGUUUGCAGCAGGAAGGGAACAUGAACCUGUUGCUGUUUUAAUCUAUCUGGUCACUCCAAUUGGGAAGAGGUGCCAUCACUCCUGAUAGGUAUGACUAUCCAGGGCCAAAAUUCCAUAGCAAGACGCUGCUGGGCCUGUCCCCAGCUCAGUGGAAAUGUCUGCGCAAGGUCACAUGAUUUCCAUGCCAAGCUAGACCUUCAUUCUACAAGAUGCCCUGGGUUUCAGCAGCAGAAGAGAAACUCUGCAGCAGCUUUAGGUACGUUAAAGACUGGAGGGUCCGAAUGAAAUAGGAUUAUGAAUAAUGCAGCCUAGUCCUUGUGCUAUUUAUUUUGAUAUUACAUUCAGUUUAUUUUACUCUGUCUCUACAUUGCCAGGAUUUGAAUGUGAGCAGUGUCUCGAUUUAGGGGUCCCUUCUCCCUCCCACCCUCUUUGGUGGGCUAGUUUUUAAUCUAGAUUUUGGAUGCAACACCUAGAACAGGGGUCUCAAACUCAAUUUACCUUAGGGCUGGUGCCAGUCCUCAAAUCUUCCAAGUGGGCCAAUAAUGUCACUGAAGCAGGUGUUCAGAAAAGAUGUUUAUGUUGAAUUUUUUAAUUUUAAAUUUCUUAGAAAUAAUAAAACUAUCAUACAACUUUAUAAAA